GACGAACGCUGGCGGCGUGCCUAAUACAUGCAAGUAGAACGCUGAAGGAGGAGCUUGCUUCUCUGGAUGAGUUGCGAACGGGUGAGUAACGCGUAGGUAACCUGCCUGGUAGCGGGGGAUAACUAUUGGAAACGAUAGCUAAUACCGCAUAAUAGCAGUUGUUGCAUGACAACUGUUUGAAAGGUGCAAUUGCACCACUACCAGAUGGACCUGCGUUGUAUUAGCUAGUUGGUGGGGUAACGGCUCACCAAGGCGACGAUACAUAGCCGACCUGAGAGGGUGAUCGCCCACACUGGGACUGAGACACGGCCCAGACUCCUACGGGAGGCAGCAGUAGGGAAUCUUCGGCAAUGGACGGAAGUCUGACCGAGCAACGCCGCGUGAGUGAAGAAGGUUUUCGGAUCGUAAAGCUCUGCUGUAAGAGAAGAACGAGUGUGAGAGUGGAAAGUUCACACUGUGACGGUAUCUUACCAGAAAGGGACGGCUAACUACGUG
rnacentral:rRNA from 1 species